ensembl:lincRNA Gm11691 predicted gene 11691
AUAAAUUGACUUCCUGUGCCUGACCUGCAGGUGGCGGCCAUUCUGUUUCCUGGCCAUGGCUUCACUAAUUUAGGCCUGCUGGGCUCACGGGAAGCCCUUCAAAAAAACGACUCCUUUCAGAUUAACAUGUAAAAUUUAAUUACGGAGGUCCAGGCUGAGAUGAUGUCUAAAGCCAUUUACUAAGCCCGGCGGCCUCCCCGUCCUGGGGCUAAGGAGGCCGAAGCAGAGCUUUGAUCAUUAACCGCUGAGAAAAUCUCAGCUUGCAUAUUAAGAGAAGUGGCAGCGCUUUUAACCCCUUUGGGAUGAGGACAGCGGAGAUGGAGACAGCCAAACGGAUGUAGAACCUCCUAUGAACUUCAAGAGAACAUUUCCGGGAGGAGCAGGUUGUGGCUUCCUAGGAGACCUUGGGCCUGGCUUUGCCUAUAAUCACAUUUCCCCUCCCGGGAAGGAGGGCUGGGGGGGGGGGGGGGCGGCAGGGAGGAGGGGCUUAAACUCUACGGGCACAAACUUCUGGGACUUCUACCACCUUUGAAGCCUGUUGUAAGGCUGUCUUUCCACACAGGGCCCAGCUCUGGUUUUAAUGAUCAGAAGGCCUGAAAGGGCUGUCUUCUCACCCGGAUGGGCCCUUGGCAGACUCCUGGCCUGCCUUCCACAGCUCUCU